GCGAAGGUGGCGGAAUUGGUAGACGCACCAGAUUUAGGUUCUGGCGCCGGAAGGCAUGGGGGUUCGAGUCCCUUCCUUCGCA
rnacentral:tRNA from 1 species